UACGUAGGGGGCAAGCGUUGUCCGGAUUUAUUGGGCGUAAAGAGCGUGUAGGCGGCCAUACAGGUCAGCUGUGAAAACUCGAGGCUCAACCUCGAGACGUCGGUUGAAACCGUAUGGCUAGAGUCCGGAAGAGGAGAGUGGAAUUCCCGGUGUGAGCGGUGGAAAUGCGCCAGAUAUCGGGAAGAACACCCGUGGCGAAGGCGGCUCUCGUGG
rnacentral:rRNA from 1 species